AGAGUUUGAUCAUGGCUCAGGACGAACGCUGGCGGCGUGCUUAACACAUGCAAGUCGAACGGAAAGGCCCUUCGGGGUACUCGAGUGGCGAACGGGUGAGUAACACGUGGGUGAUCUGCCCUGCACUUUGGGAUAAGCCUGGGAAACUGGGUCUAAUACCGAAUAUGACCACGCUCUUCAUGGGGUGUGGUGGAAAGCUUUUGCGGUGUGGGAUGGGCCCGCGGCCUAUCAGCUUGUUGGUGGGGUAAUGGCCUACCAAGGCGACGACGGGUAGCCGGCCUGAGAGGGUGACCGGCCACACUGGGACUGAGAUACGGCCCAGACUCCUACGGGAGGCAGCAGUGGGGAAUAUUGCACAAUGGGCGCAAGCCUGAUGCAGCGACGCCGCGUGAGGGAUGACGGCCUUCGGGUUGUAAACCUCUUUCACCAGGGACGAAGCGCAAGUGACGGUACCUGGAGAAGAAGCACCGGCCAACUACGUGCCAGCAGCCGCGGUAAUACGUAGGGUGCGAGCGUUGUCCGGAAUUACUGGGCGUAAAGAGCUCGUAGGUGGUUUGUCGCGUUGUUCGUGAAAUCUCACGGCUUAACUGUGAGCGUGCGGGCGAUACGGGCAGACUUGAGUACUGCAGGGGAGACUGGAAUUCCUGGUGUAGCGGUGGAAUGCGCAGAUAUCAGGAGGAACACCGGUGGCGAAGGCGGGUCUCUGGGCAGUAACUGACGCUGAGGAGCGAAAGCGUGGGGAGCGAACAGGAUUAGAUACCCUGGUAGUCCAA
rnacentral:rRNA from 1 species